rnacentral:lncRNA from 10 species
GCCUGAUGUGGCGUGAGGCUGUGGUCUGCAGAGUGGAAGGCUCCAAGAACCUGGUUUGGAGUCUCACCUUCUGUGUCUCCAGUUAAUACGAGAUUUCAAGUAUACAAUACAGCAUAAUUAGUUGUAGUCACCAUGUUGUACAUUGGAUUGCCAGAACGUAUCCAUCUUAUAGCUGACGGUGUGUAUCCCUUCACCAGCACCUCCUGUUUCCCCUACGUCCUAGCCCCAGGAAACACCAUUCUACUCUCUGUUUCUAUGAGUCUGACUUUUUUUAGAUCUCAUAGAUAAGUGUGACUAUGUGGUAUUUGUCUUUCUGUUCCUGGCUUAUUUAGCAUAAUGUCCUCCAAGUUCA